rnacentral:rRNA from 1 species
CAGCAGCCACGGUAAUACGAAGGGGGCUAGCGUUGCUCGGAAUUACUGGGCGUAAAGGGCGCGUAGGCGGACAGUUCAGUCGGGGGUGAAAGCCCGGGGCUCAACCUCGGAAUUGCCUUCGAUACUGGCUGUCUUGAGUAUGAGAGAGGUGUGUGGAACUCCGAGUGUAGAGGUGAAAUUCGUAGAUAUUCGGAAGAACACCAGUGGCGAAGGCGACUCUCUGGUCUGUAACUGACGCUGAGGAGCGAAAGCGUGGGGAGCGAACAGGAUUAGAUACCCCUGUAGUCCCUGUCUCUUAUAC